GGGAGAGUAUCCAGUGGAUUUCAUGUCGGUAAAUGUAGUUGUUUCUGCAGAGUUUCAAUUAGGGCUGGGAUGACGAUGAGAUGGAGGCCUUUAUAUAGAAGGAGAGAAAGGGGAAGGUGGAACGAAACCAUUAAAGCAAGAUUAAAGAGCAUAAUAUACUAAUGAAGAAGGAUAACUGUAACGGCGAAGUGUUUGGUGCUGAGAAAUUGAUCAGUAAUGACGAAGAGAAAUAGUUGGGGAAGAGUCACGCUUCAGAAAUGGCGAAUUGGGUUGGACUCGAGUAGUUUAAUAAAUGUAAACACAGCCCAAAUGAAAACACAGAUUCAUGGUCCAAGAAUCCUUGAUGACAUGGACAAAUGAUUGGUUAGAAAUAUUUCAUCCUAUGUGGACAGUCUAAGAAGGCUUAAAAAUAGUUCAUUUUAUAUAGUAGAGAUUAUCAUGAAAUUUUUCAACUAUUUAUUAUGUUUACUUUUAAAAUAUUAUUCUUUUUAUUUACAAUGCAUUUCAAAAUACUACAAACUUUUGAUUUUUAAAUAAUUUAUAAAUCUAAUAAAAGAUUCCAAAUUACAAAUUUUUUGUUUUUCAAAAAUUUCUAAUUUUAACAAAAUAAUUAUACUCUGAAUGUGUGAGGUUUGGUCAAAGCCCAUCAGACAUGU
rnacentral:lncRNA from 1 species